UAGGGAAUCUUCGGCAAUGGAGGGAACCCUGACCGAGCAACGCCGCGUGAGUGAAGAAGGUUUUCGGAUCGUAAAGCUCUGUUGUAAGAGAAGAACGUGUGUGAGAGUGGAAAGUUCACACUGUGACGGUACUUUACCAGAAAGGGACGGCUAACUACGUGCCAGCAGCCGCGGUAAUACGUAGGUCCCGAGCGUUGUCCGGAUUUAUUGGGCGUAAAGCGAGCGCAGGCGGUUAGAUAAGUCUGAAGUUAAAGGCUGUGGCUUAACCAUUGUACGCUUUGGAAACUGUUUAACUUGAGUGCAAGAGGGGAGAGUGGAAUUCCAUGUGUAGCGGUGAAAUGCGUAGAUAUAUGGAGGAACACCGGUGGCGAAAGCGGCUCUCUGGCUUGUAACUGACGCUGAGGCUCGAAAGCGUGGGGAGCAAACAGGAUUAGAUACCCUGGUAGUCCACGCCGUAAACGAUGAGUGCUAGGUGUUAGANCCUUUCCGGGGNUUAGUGCCGCAGCUAACGCAUUAAGCACUCCGCCUGGGGAGUACGACCGCAAGGUUG
rnacentral:rRNA from 1 species